UAUGUACUUUAGUCAAAUAUAUAAAGAUUUGAUUUAAAUUUCAAAUAUUUUAUGUAUUUAAGUUGAAUGAAUAAAGCUUGGACUAAAGAAAUUUAAUCGAGUUGAAAAAUUUGGUCAAAUUAACAUCAUUUUUUUCUCAGUGUACAAUAUUAUAAAACAUUACAAUACAUCGUAUCUCUUAUACUUUCGUGUAUUCGCGAGUUUAUCAUGCGACACUUUCGCGGAUAAUCAGCUUAUAAAAUCCAAACUGUUAUUUACGGCGAUGGAAAUUUAAUAUUUUGUGUCACGUACGAAUCUUUUUUUCCCUGUAAACUCUACGCAAAGAAAAGAGCCAACAGUUUCUCGCGGCAUUUGAAGAAUUCGUACCGCGGUUAAACCGCAAUUUCCACUUUUGCCAUAAGCACUGAUAAUUGGCCACGAGAAAAUGACAAAACGACGAACACGAUAACAACGAUGACAACGACGACGUAAAACGAUGCGUGCAAAUAAGUUCUCAGAUCAGGAGACCGUCCUAUUAAGUCGAAACUAAUCUACCUAAUAAGUCUAACUGCCGAGGACUAGGAAAUACGUGGUUCUCCAGUAUUCUUUGUAGUGUUGUCUAGUGUUGCAAAAUUAAUUAAAAAUCAAGACAUGCAAUAAAUAAUUAGCAUACCGAGGUGUACGUUUCGCGUGUGAUUAAAUUUAACGGAACAGCAAGUGCGCAAUUAGAAAAGUAACGUGUGAAUUUUAUUAUUUUCUAUCUGCUUUGUUUUCUUUCUGUACGUGCAUUUCUAUGUAUAUUUAUAAUUCGCAGUAUUGUCUCGUGAUAAUAACCACGGGUUAAUAAUACGGUUUUAUAUGUGUAUUUAAAGAAAGAGUAUCGUGGGCGAUAUGAUAUUUAUGCGUUAAAUGGUACCGAAGAAUAAGCAAGUGAAACGGAGUCAUGCACGAUUAGCAGAUUAAAAUAUGAUGGUACACUCGGGCACUGUUACACGGUCAGAGCAAACUUAUUAGCCACUGUGACCUAAGUCCCGCAAGAAGAUAUAUCCGUUGCCUGACUCAUCAAUUCGUGAUACCUCAUUUACCCAUGAGGGAUAAUCCCUCCUCAGCCUCCAUUGAUGUCACGGGAAAACAAAUAUCUAUAUAUUUAUAUAUAAUUUAUCAUGUUGUAUAUUAUAUGUAUAUUUGCCAAGAUAUUUGCUGAUUUGUUGCCUAAAUUCUUUUUCCUCUGUAAAAAUAAAUAAAUUUAAACACA
rnacentral:lncRNA from 1 species